rnacentral:rRNA from 1 species
UGAGAGUUUGAUCCUAGCUCAGGGUGAACGCUGGCGGUAUGGAUAAGGCAUGCAAGUCGAGGGGUCCGCAAGGGCACCGGCAGACGAGGUAGUAACACGUAGGAACGUACCCGGAAGUCUCGCACAGCUCGUCGAAAGACGGGGUAAUUCGAGAUGGUGUCGCAAGACUAAAGACAAGUAUUUAUUUAGUUGUCGCUUCCGGAGCGGCCUGCGUUGUAUCACGCUAGUUGGUGAGGUAAUGGCUCACCAAGGCUAUGACGCAUAGGGGACCUGAGAGGGUGACCCCCACCGAUGAUACUGAGACACGGAUCAUACCCCUACGGGGGGCUGCAGCCGAGAAUAUUCGACAAUGGGCGAAAGCCUGAUCGAGCGAUACCGCGUGGUGGAUGAAGCGAUUCGUCGCGUAAACAUCUUUUAUGAGGGAGGAAGUUAUUGACGUUACCUCAUGAAUAAGGGGCUCCUAACUCUGUGCCAGCAGGAGCGGUAAUACAGAGGCCCCAAGCAUUACCCGGAAUUACUGGGCGUAAAGGGUGCGUAGGUGGUCGUAUUAGUCGUCUGUUAAAAACCGGGGCUCAACCCCGGAAAUGCGGGCGAAACGGUACGACUCGAGAGCGUGAGAGGUGCAUAGAACUCUAGGUGUAGGGGUGAAAUCCGUUGAUAUCAUGGGGAACACCGAAAGCGAAGGCAAUGUACUGGCGCGUUCCUGACACUCAAGCACGAAAGCGUGGGUAGCGAACGGGAUCAAGAAAGUAUCUGGUCCCCUCCGAGAGCAAUCUUGGAGCGCAAAACUUCGACAAUCGAAAGAACGUCGAAGCGAGAAAUUUGGCUAUAUGCUGGAAAAACCGAGUAUGGACAACUACUCGCUGAUUGAUGGUAUAUUUAUACUGUCGAUUAGCAGUGAUAAUGUUUGUCCUGCGGUCAAUCAGCAGGGAAGUUAAUCAAAGAAAGAAUAUGAUCGAGGAAAUAAAGCCACGGUCUGAAGCAAUUGAUAGGCAAAAAGUUAAGGAACAUCUAGACAAGGUAAAGGAGCUUGUAGGGGAACUAGAGAAAAAUUCGGCUGUAAAGUUAUACAACGAAUUUCUCUCAACCAAUGCCGCCGAGGCUAGAAAAGCUGCGGUCGGCAUGUUGCCUGACAUGAGCAAUCUGAAAAUGGAAGAGCAUCCAGAUGUUCAGUUGUACCGGAGAACGAAAGACUACCUAAAUCAAUUUUCUGAAUAACCCCUCAGAGACUACACGCCGAACAUCCGCAAGUUGCGGACGAUGAUAUAGUCCGACCUCCAUAGCGAUAUGGAGAUUCAAUCUGCUCUUAUCGGGGGCAAUUGAUCCCAGCACUUUCUAGAAUUCUAAGAAAGUGUGGGGUAACACAAAUGUAGAUACCCCGGUAGUCCACGCCCUAAACUAUGUCAACUGGCUAUUCGGAGUAUCGACCCUCUGAGUGGCGAAGCUAACGCGUUAAGUUGACCGCCUGGGUAGUACGGCCGCAAGGCUAAAACUCAAAGGAAUAGACGGGAGCUUGCACAAGCGGUGGAGCGUGUGGCUCAAUUCGUCGCUAAGCGAAGAACCUUACCAAGGCUAGAAAUCCUACUGCACGCCUGGCGAAAGCUAGGAAGCCUUCGAGGGUGUAGGACAGGUGAUGCAUGGCUGUCGUCAGUUCGUGGUUUGAAUCGUUCCCUUCAGUGGGGUAACGAACGCAACCUUCGUUGCCUGUUACAC